AAGUCCAAACAGCCUUACUGGUUCAUAAAGAACAAAGAUUUGCUCUCUGUGGCUCCAACACAACUUAAAGACAAUCAAAGGUGGACAAAGUUCUCUGUGGUUUGAUGGAGGCUACAGCUAAAUGCUGCCUCCUCCAUAGUACAAUAUACAUUUUAUACAGUGACGUCAUGUUGAAGUCCUUUGGCUGAUGAUGGUCUUUAGUAUGUAGCUGAUGGUUGAUGAUGAGAUGUUUGUGUUGUUCUGUGGAGAUCGUUCAAGAACUGAACCUGUUAAACACUCAGACCUGCUUUAGAUUUCACCGCUUUAGUUAUGACGCACUUAUUUAUGGUCACCCUACAGCAGCGUAAACACACGUGACUCUGACGUUACUUCCUUCAGAGACGAUGAAUUGGACGUAUUGAGUUUGAACGAGUGUCUAAAAAGUCUGAUCUGUUCUCACAGUCAGAGACUUUCAGGAUCAUUUAAACCUUAAGUUUAAUCUCAUGUAGUCAGGAUUUAAACUCAGGUUCAGUUAUUUCACUAAAACCAUCCUGAGACAUUUAGAACAAUCGAAGCGUCGGAGUUGAAGAAGACGGAAAUGUCUGCUGUGACUGCGUCGCUCUGCUCGACUUUGCUGUUUGUCGGCCUCUUCGUGUUUGUCUCUGCAGGUGUGUUGUUGAUCAGGAGAAAGCAAACAGUUUGUGACCGCUGGGCUGUUAUGCCCAGAAAACGAUCACAGCUGAGUCUGGACAGAACGCCACUCUGACAUGUCGAGCUCCAAACAACAACAUCACAGCUGUAGAGUGGAGCAAACCUGACAGACAGAAUCCUGAACAAGUCCUUUUGUACCGGGACGGGCACUUUGAUACCACCAACCAGCAUCCAUCUUUUAAGAACCGGUCGGAUCUGCAGGACAGACAGAUGAAGGAUGGAGACGUGUCUCUGAUUCUGAAGAAUGUGACGAUUAAUGACACUGGAACAUACGAGUGUCACGUCUUCAUGAGCGGACCACACAAUGAACACAUCUUCAUCA